UGUGGCUUAAGUCGUUGAAGGAAAAGGAUUUGAUAAUUAGAAUAUUUAUUCAAUUGAUUUUUUAAUUUGAAUAAUUGAAUUAUUGAUUAUUAGCGAGAUUUAGUAUUUUUCCUGAUUAACCACGGAAGUAUUGCAAUAUAGAAUAUUGCUCACUUAAAUAAAUUAGCAAUUUCUAGAAGAGUAAAAUGAGAAAUGCUAAUAUCUAAUUAGCAAGGACUCGCAGAUCUAAGACAGAAUGAAGAUACGUAGCUAGAAGUGUGUCUAAAUAGACGCGAACGACUAGCAAACCCGAAUAGGUGGGGGCAAUUAGGGAUUUUCGGCGGAGAAUAUGAAGAGGUCCAAUUAUAAAAGGGGACAACACGCACCGCCUUGUAAAUAAUACGUCAUUCGAUCAUAUUAAUAGACCAGGGAAAGUAUGGCUUCAAUGUUUGAUGUACAUUCUAUAUUCUACUGCAAACCCAUGUCAAGUUAUCCUGAAUGGACCUCUAUGCUACGAUAAUACAGGUCAGUUUGCGUCGAAUUUGAUACGCUGAUGGCGGUACAGCUUGUUAUAGGUCACUGAAAAUUAGCAGCUUUUCACUAAGUCGACGAGGGACCUAUUUUUAAACAAAUAUUUAUAAAAUUGUUGUGUGUAUAGUAAUAAUUUUAUAUAUAAACAACAGAAGUAUAUACAUUAUAUUAUUCAUUCAUUCAUUUCAGCCUUUUUCUGCCAACUGUCCUCUACCUAUCAUUCAAGUACAACCUGCCACUUUUAUUAUAUCGCCCACCCAUCUCAUCGCAAGUUGUCUGACAUUUCUUCCACCUGUCCUAGCCACCUAUCAUCACACCGACGUUCUUGGUGUUCGCUCCCAGAAUCAAUUAGGAUUACCUUAUGUAUAUAUUUUACAGAAUUUUGACUAUUUAUUUUUAUUGUAAGACGUAUUGUAUUUUGUGUAAAGAUAAUAUUAAGUAUGGUAUGAAAGGAACAUGACUAACUAUGAUAUUAUUUAUUUAUCUCAUUAUCAUCUCUUUGAAUAUUAUACUUUCGCAUCUAAUGACGACUAUACACUAUCAGCAUUGUACGG